rnacentral:lncRNA from 1 species
CUCCGAAGACAACUGAAGGAGAAGAUCACUCCUCUACCAGAAUGUUCAGAAUGCGCCCUGUUGAUAGACCAGUGUCAGUACCUGAAGACUCUCAUUCCUGGAGGCCAUUUGUCUUAGUUUGUAUCUUUGUUGUUCAUGUUGAGAAUCACCUCCAGGCUUGUUGGAUGGGAUUCAUUUGUUGUACCCCGAUUAUGUGGAUCUUUGUUGACUUUGUGGUAUGAUCUUUUGUUGCUCUUAUCUAUAGAUGAGGUUGUUGGUUUCAC